CGUCUUGAAAAUAUCUGGUAAAUACCGAAAGCAAAUUUCAACGAGCUGGUAAUUCCUGCGGAAACAGAAUUUCAGACUGUUUACUGAGAAGACACCCAGGGCAGAGGGCAACUUGGCAGCCAGGGCGGAACCUGCAGAGGCAGAAGCCUUGGAGAGCAUGGGCCUUGUGCCCGGCCCGAGGAUCAGCCGAGCCAAUAUCAAGUUAUUCUGUAUAAAAUGAAUCUGGCCCUUGCAAAGCCAACCAACUCGAUCAUGCCAAACUUCUGACUUAAUUGAAGCUGGUGGCGGGUGGUGAUGAAAUAGAUGAAGGAGAAGCUCAGAAGGUCAUCAACACACCCAGAAAGCCGGAGGAAUCAAAGCUAUGAUGGUGAGGAGAAGUUACGUCAGAAGACACUUGAGGACUCGUGUGCUAUACGCAACAUCUAUUCCUUCUUUCUUGUUAACAAAUCUCCGAUUGUAUUCAGGAAUCCAGCCGCCUCCUCACAGGCCUGGACUUCAGAGGAGAGUGACCCCACCCCUAUCCUGGACAUGGGUCUAAUUGGACUAAAUCAAUCAUAGCAGCCCCAUUCCACUUGCCAAUGACUGGUUUGGGCAAAGGUUUGCUUUUUCUUAAAGAGGAUCUCACAAAAGAGUUGAUUUCUUCUUUCUCUGGUUGCUGUUGCCAUUGGAAAUGGCUCCUGAACUGCUGCGACCACCUUGUGACCAUGGAGAAGGGGAGGCAGCCAAGGAACACUUAGGGGAUGACACAGCUUGGAGGUGAAAGGGUCUGGAUCCUUAAUGGCUUCCCCAAGCCUCAGAAUCACUCAGCUCUGGAGCUGCCCACUCUGCAAGUUCUCAGUAGGAUGUGUAAGACUGAAGUAGCCAGAAGGGAUAAGAAGGAGGAUGAGUAAUCGUCCCUAUAACUCUGCAACAUCUGAGAAAAGGAGCAGCAAGCCGCUGAAACUGACAAUUCCUUUCUUUAGCCCCAACCCAGAAUCAAUGCCAAAGGGGUUAAACUCUGAUAGUUUCAAGAAGAUACAUCGUACUGGAUGGAAAGGAGUAGCAGUGUGAUAAACUGAGAAGCCAUGGUAAAGCAGUCCUAUGUUCAAGCCCUGAGCCUUCUGCUUCCCAGCUACAUGACCUUGGGUGAAUUAGCUCACCUCUCUGAGCUUUGAUAGCCUCUCAUUUGCAAAGGCAAUACAGGUAUAGGUCAUGCAGGGUAGCUGCGGGGAGGGCGAUGCGUGUCACUCUUUGUGCGCUAGCACAGUACCAGCCACGUAGCAGGCACUCAUCAAUUAUACUCAUCGUUAUUUUAUUCAUAGGAGAAAUGCAAGCAAAAUAAGUUAGUAACUAGUUUGGCCUAUUGGACUUUGGGUUUGAAAAUCCAUUUAACAAAUUUGAGCACUUACCCUGUGCGAGGCACUGAUUUAUUGCUGGGGACACAGUGGGAAACAGCACACAAUAGUCCGUU
rnacentral:lncRNA from 1 species